AUUGAACGCUGGCGGCAGGCCUAACACAUGCACGUCGAACGAGUGGCGGACGGGUGAGUAAUGUCUGGGCAACUGCCUGAUGGAGGGGGAUAACUACUGGAAACGGUAGCUAAUACCGCAUACCAUCGGAUGUGCCCAGAUGGGAUGAGCUGGUGGGGGGGGUAACGGCUCACCAAGGCGACGAUCCCUAGCUGGUCUGAGAGGAUGACCAGCCACGCUGGAACUGAGACAGGGUCCAGACUCCUCCGGGAGGCAGCAGGGGGGAAUAUUGCAAAAUGGGCGCAAGCCUGAUGCAGCCAUGCCGGGUGGAUGAAGAAGGCUUUCGGGGUGUAAAGUACUUUCAGCGGGGAGACGUUACCCGCAGAAGAAGCACCGGCUAACUCCGUGCCAGCAGCCGCGGUAAUAC
rnacentral:rRNA from 1 species